CUGGUUCCUACCAUCUGUUUUCUUUUUGCAUCCUGCUCCUUCAAUUUAGAGAGACAGCUCCAGCUUUUCAGAGACAGUUAUCAUGGGGUCUACUGCUACAGAAAUCGAGGAGCUGGAAAACACCUCUUUUAAGUACCUUAUAGGAGAACAGACUGAAAAAAUGUGGCAACAGCUGAAAGGAAUGUGGGUGGAAAUAUUAUAAAGUAGUUGUGACUUCACCUUCUUUGUCAAUUUCACCAGAGAAAUAGUGUGUGGUCUUUGGCCAUAAGCUGGG
rnacentral:lncRNA from 1 species